ensembl:ncRNA asRNA:CR45162 antisense RNA:CR45162
AGGCCCGUACUCAUUGGGGUUAACGGAACGCGGCUCGUCGUCACGUGGAGAUGGAUAAUUCUGCUGCAGGCAGUUACCCAAUUCGAGGGCAAGGUAGUCAGUAGAGGCAGCGAGGCAGCGGCGGGACAUAAUGUCCAACUCCUCUCCGGCCGGAUCCAUUACCACUCCUCCGGCCUCCGUGACUAUCAAAGCGCCUGCUGCCAUAUCCCAAACGUGCAGCCCAAAGUUGUAGAAGGCAUCCGCCACUCCGGAGGCGACCAUUGCCAAGCACAUGGCGGAGGAUCCAAUAGAGCGCAUCCUACAAAGAAUCCGCCGUAGUUGUCGCUGGGAAUUUUCAGUGGCCACUUGGUUACGCGCCUCAUUGCUGCCCGAGCUGUACUCCUGUAGAACCAUGGCCGCGGAGAGGUUGGUUUGGCCAGUGGUCCUUAUCAUCUCGCCGUUCAUUUGAGCACCCUUGCCCAGUUGGGCCGUGUACAU